AUACGGAGGAUCCGAGCGUUAUCCGGAUUUAUUGGGUUUAAAGGGUGCGCAGGCGGCCAUUUAAGUCAGCGGUUAAAUCGUGGGGCUCAACCCCAUUCUGCCGUUGAUACUGGGUGGCUUGAUUGCGGUCGAGGUUGGCGGAAUUCGUUGUGUAGCGGUGAAAUGCAUAGAUAUGACGAAGAACACCGAUUGCGUAGGCAGCUGACCAGACCGCAAAUGACGCUCAUGCACGAAAGUGCGGGGAUCGAACAGGAUUAGAUACCCUGGUAGUCCGCACAGUAAACGAUGAAUACUUGUUUUCGGCGAUAUAAUGUCGGAGGCAAAGCGAAAGCGAUAAGUAUUCCACCUGGGGAGUACGCCGGCAACGGUGAAACUCAAAGGGAUUGGCGGGG
rnacentral:rRNA from 1 species